rnacentral:rRNA from 1 species
GACGAACGCUGGCGGCGUGCUUAACACAUGCAAGUCGAACGGAAAGGCCCUGCGGGGUGCACGACUGACGAACGGGUGAGUACCACGUGGGUGAUCUGCCCUGCAGUUCGGGGUAAGCCUGGGAAACUGGGUACAAUACCGGAUAGGACGGCUGCCGGCAUGGGUGGUGGGGGAAAGCCUUUGCGGGGUGGGAUGGGCCCGGGGCCUAACGGCUUGUUGGUGGGGGGAUGGCCUACCAAGGCGACGACGGGUAGCCGGCCUGGGAGGGUGACCGGCCACACUGGGACUGAGAUACGGCCCAGACGCCUACGGGAGGCAGCAGUGGGGAAUAUUGCACAAUGGGCGCAAGCCUGAUGCAGCGACGCCGCGUGAGGGAUGACGGCCUGCGGGUUGUAAACCUCUUUCAGCACCGACGCAGCGCAAGUGACGGUAGGUGCAGAAGAAGGACCGGCCAACUACGUGCCAGCAGCCGCGGUAA